CGGACGGGUGAGUAACGCGUGGGUAACCUACCCUGUACACACGGAUAACAUACCGAAAGGUAAUGCUAAUACAGGAUAAUAUAUUUGAGAGGCAUCUCUUGAAUAUCAAAGGUGAGCCAGUACUGGAUGGACCCGCGUCUGAUUAGCUAGUUGGUAAGGUAACGGCUUACCAAGGCGACGAUCAGUAGCCGACCUGAGAGGGUGAUCGGCCACAUUGGAACUGAGACACGGUCCAA
rnacentral:rRNA from 1 species